GCGCGGCUGGAUGAGGUGGGCGGGCAUCCGCGCCCGUCGGGCGUGGGCGUCAGUUACGUCGAGCAGGAGUUCCAUGCCCUGGCCGAGGA
rnacentral:tRNA from 1 species